GAUGCGGAUAACCUGGAGAGGGUCCAGAGAAGGGCAACUCGUAUGGUCAAGGGCCUGCAGACCAAGCCCUACGAGGAGAGACUAGAGAACCUGGACCUUUUCAGCCUCCGCAAGAGAAGGUUGAGAGGCGACCUUGUGGCUGCCUAUAAGUUCAUCACGGGGGCACAGAAGGGAAUUGGUGAGGAUUUAUUCACCAAGGCGCCCCCGGGGGUUACAAGAAACAAUGGCCACAAGCUAGCAGAGAGCAGAUUUAGACUGGACAUUAGGAAGAACUUCUUCACAGUUCGAGUGGCCAAGGUCUGGAACGGGCUCCCAAGGAAGGUGGUGCUCUCCCCUCCCCUGGGGGUCUUCAAGAGGAGGUUAGAUGAGUAUCUAGCUGGGGUCAUCUAGACCCAGCACUCUUUCCUGCUUAUGCAGGGGGUCGGACUCGAUGUUCCAUUGAGGUCCCUUCUGACCCUAACAUCUAUGAAUCUAUGAAUCUUAAAAGACUCAGGGCAGCUGCUGGGGGAGCAAGGGAGAAAGGGCAGGACGAAAAGGCAGACUGGGCACAAUGGGAGGAAGGGGACCAGGUAGCACAGGCCACCUGUGGGUGGAUGGAAAGACACUGAGUGCUGGCCGCCAGUCAGGGACUCGUGAGAAAUAGCUGCUCUCCAAACUUAAGAGUCAGCAUCAAGGGAUGCGUGAGGUUUGCUUUGGGCAGCCCCUGCUACACUGAUGCCUUUAUGGCGAAUGGGGCUUCUUUAAGAGAAGGGGGUGAAUGAAAGGUCUGGGGGACUGGUGAGUGUUGUUCUACCCCAGCCUUGCUGAGCCCCCUCUGCUGGAUGCCAGCUUUGAUUUAUAGAGAACGAGGACUGGAAGGGACCUCAGGAGGUCGCAUCUGGUCUAACCCCCUGCUUCAAGCCAGACCAACCCCAGCUACAUCAUCCCAGCCAGGGCUUUGUCGAGCUGGGUCUUAAACACCUCCAAGGAUGGAGACCCCACAACCACAAAAGCUUCCUCAGCAUGUUUUCUUCUUUCACUUUGCAGCUUAGUUAGACGCCACCUCAUGUGAGUGGAAGAGGCACUCAGGAGCUGGAGAGAGAGCGAGAGAGACCCACUGGGUGAGAGAAGCAAAGGAGCCCAUGGAGGGCCACACCCCAGCAGAGUCCUCCAGGGAAGAGGUGAUCCUGCCUCGAGCUGGGAUUUGGACAAGAUGACCUACGGAAGUCCCUUGCAGCCUGACUUUUCCGUGAUCCUCCCCAACCCCCCACAUGUGCCAGGUACAGAAUUAACAUGCUCUCCCUCUGGAUUGUC